UGUUUCCACCAUCUUUCUAUUGAAGCUUCGAGCGAGACGGACUGUGAAACAAUGUGAUGAAAAGGGAGUUGAAUUGAAUAUUACUGGGAAUGGAAAUAGUAGGAUGGCUGGUCUGGACCUUCUAAGUGAUGAGAUAGUUUCUGAACAAUUAAAGAGG